AACGCACAUUGCGCCCCUUGGUAUUCCGAGGGGCAUGCCUGUUCGAGCGUCAUUACAACCCUCAAGCAUUGCUUGGUGUUGGGCUCCGCCGCUGACCCGGCGGGCCCUAAAACCAGUGGCGGUGCCGUCGAGGCCCUGAGCGCAGUAAACAUCCUCGCUAUAGGGACCCGGCGGACGCUGGCCACCAACCCCCACUCUCUCAGUUUGACCUCGGAUCAGGUAGGGAUACCCGCUGAACUUAA
rnacentral:misc_RNA from 1 species